rnacentral:misc_RNA from 1 species
AAGUCGUAACAAGGUAUCCGUAGGUGAACCUGCGGAUGGAUCAUUAUCACGUAUCCACGUUUCAACCAUUGUGAACUGUUCUAACCUUUGAGAAGAGUUUGUGAAUAACGAGGUUAUAAAGGGGGUGGAAACAUCAACUCUAUAUCCAUCGGCUUCUCAAAGCGUAUUUUAUCACAAAUAUUAACAACUUAAACCUAAACUUAUAUAACUUUUGACUUAUUUAUUUCUUACUCUUCGGAGAAGAAAUUUCAUUACGAAACAUAAGAACAACUCUUAGCAACGGAUAUCUUGGUUCUC